rnacentral:rRNA from 1 species
UACGGAGGGGGCUAGCGUUGUUCGGAAUUACUGGGCGUAAAGCGAACGUAGGCGGUGUUCCAUGUCAGAGGUGAAAGCCUGGGGCUCAACUCCAGAAUUGCCUUUGAAACGGGGACGCUUGAGUCCGAGAGAGGAUGGCGGAAUUCCUAGUGUAGAGGUGAAAUUCGUAGAUAUUAGGAAGAACACCAGUGGCGAAGGCGGCCAUCUGGCUCGGUACUGACGCUCAGGUUCGAAAGCGUGGGGAGCAAACAGG